UCUUUUCCUUUUUUUCCAGCAGCCGCGGUAAUACGUAGGGGGCAAGCGUUAUCCGGAUUUACUGGGUGUAAAGGGAGCGUAGACGGUGUGGCAAGUCUGAUGUGAAAGGCAUGGGCUCAACCUGUGGACUGCAUUGGAAACUGUCAUACUUGAGUGCCGGAGGGGUAAGCGGAAUUCCUAGUGUAGCGGUGAAAUGCGUAGAUAUUAGGAGGAACACCAGUGGCGAAGGCGGCUUACUGGACGGUAACUGACGUUGAGGCUCGAAAGCGUGGGGAGCAAACAGG
rnacentral:rRNA from 1 species